rnacentral:rRNA from 1 species
UACGUAGGGGGCAAGCGUUGUCCGGAUUUAUUGGGCGUAAAGAGCUCGUAGGCGGUUUGUCGCGUCGGCCGUGAAAUCUCCACGCUUAACGUGGAGCGUGCGGUCGAUACGGGCAGGCUUGAGUUCGGUAGGGGAGACUGGAAUUCCUGGUGUAGCGGUGAAAUGCGCAGAUAUCAGGAGGAACACCGGUGGCGAAGGCGGGUCUCUGGGCCGAUACUGACGCUGAGGAGCGAAAGCGUGGGGAGCGAACAGG